GUAGAAGAAAGAGGUGGCGUCAGAUGUCUCGAAAUCGGAAUUUUGUGAUAGUUCAGAUGUAAAAUUAAAUCUAUCGGUGAUAAUUGUCGAAUCACUAUUUGUCUGCUGCAACUGGAGGCCUUAUGUAAAAUUUCGAGAAAUUUGCAUGAACGAGCCACACCCACUAACUCGAUUACAUCUAAAUGUUAUUGUAGGAUUCUUUAAACAUGUUACCGUACCUGUUUUUUACGAUAUGGAUUGGAAGCUGUGCUGGACAAAGCAUACGACUCAAUCAAGGGAGUUCGCCAAACCAAUAUCAGCCUUUCAACAAUCUGGGAGGCGUUAAUGAUGAUUCGUUCUAUGGCAGCGUAAAUCGUUAUAAACAACCUGAUAAUUAUGGGUUUGGCCAAUCGGAAGAAAAUUUAUGUCCAGAACAUUGGACACCAUAUCGAAGCACAUGCAUUCGCAUCCAUAAAUCUCCCAAGAAAGACUAUCUCAGUGCUCAAAAAAUUUGUCGAGCCUACCCAGGGAAUCUCAUUAGUAUCGACAAUAUUGAAAAACAUUCAUUUAUUCUCAAACUGCUGGACAUAGACGAAAACAAAGCGAAUCGGUAUUAUAUAUCUGCUCGACAGGCUUCUCCUGGUAACUGGAUUAACGCCGAUAAAACCCAGCUUGUUACUAUAGAGGAUUCAUUUUAUUAUAACACAAACGACGAUAGUUCGAAUAGCUUUAAUAGUAUUUUCAACACAAAUAAACAACUUGUUGCGAAAACCGACCCUCGGAACAAAUAUAUUCCACGUUUCAACGAAGAUCGAAAUAAUCUGGUUUACGCAUUCAACACAGCCAUGGAAAAAUGGCAAUUCAAUCCUGUACAUCCUAACGAAUAUAAUUUAUUCAUCUGUGAAUCUCAACAAUUGUAUAGUGUAGAAAACAUCAAUAUAUUAGCUGAUGACAAAAGAAGUUUCGAUUACGGCAUCGAAAUCAAAGAUAUCUCAAAGAUCCCGAGAGGGCCUUACUUUAUCAGACAGCCUCGUGAUACAACAUACGACACCGGAAAAGAGAAAAUUACUAAAGAUGUUAUUCUAAGCUGCUCAGCCGGCGGCUAUCCAACCCCUACUUAUAAAUGGUACAAAGAACUUUACGUCAAUGACAAUGUGACAGUGGUGACCCUAAACCCACUGAAGGACACCCGAUAUACGUCAAGUGGAGGAAAUCUAAUCAUACAUGACCCCCAGCAAAUACAGGACCAAGGAACAUACCAUUGUGUUGCCGAGAACAGUCAUGGACGUAUCUUGUCGGAGAGCGUUGAAUUGAAUUUUGGUUACAUCCUGGAAUUCAACCUGCAGCGAUCGUCUGAAACGGGAGAGAUGAAUUGGGGGAAAUCGCUUUACUGUGAUCCCCCGCAACAUUAUCCCGAUGUGAGAUACUACUGGUCACGCGAUUAUUUCCCAAACUUUGUGGAAGAAGACCAGAGAGUGUUCGUCAGUCACGAUGGAUCGCUUUAUUUUUCUUCCCUGGAAAUUAAAGAUCGCGCAGAUUACUCCUGUAACGUUCAAAGCACUGUCAGUGAUACUGGACGAAACGGUCCGUUCUUCAAUCUGCAAGUGGUUUCUCACCCUCAUUAUCAAGAUUUGAUAUUUGCAAACAAUUUUCCGAAAAAUUAUCCCGAAGCUCCUGUUGCCGGGAAGGAUAUAAGACUGGAGUGUAUGGCUUUUGGCUAUCCAGUGCCAUCUUACAAUUGGACAAGGGUUAAUGGACAAUUACCACGAUACUCAUAUCAGGAAAACUAUAAUCGAGUACUUGUUAUAAAAAAUUCGACUGUAAAUGAUAAUGGUGAAUACGUAUGCACGAUUAAAAAUGACCGAAAAUCAAUCUCUAAAAGUGUUCUUGUGAACGUUCAAAUGCGUCCGGUUUUCACAAUUCCUUUGAAAGAUAAAGUAAAAGAUUUCCAGAGCACAGUAACGUUUUUAUGUGAAGCCUCUGCAGUACCAGAUGUAAACUAUACAUGGUAUAAAAACGGUGAAUUAAUGGAUCCCGAAAAUAACAAAUUCAACAAGGACAAAUACAUCAUUCAAGACAAUGUACUGAAAAUAAAUUUUUUGGACCCAGAGGAAGACAACGGAAUGUAUCAAUGUAAAGCAACAAAUCAGCUUAAAGGAGUAUAUUCUUCGGCCCAAUUACGAGUUCUUUCUAUGAAACCUUCGUUUAAAAAGAAACCUCUUGAAUCCGAAAUUUAUACUAUUUAUAACGGAAACACAACUAUUGAAUGUGAUCCAGAGGCAGCACCGCGUCCAAAAAUCGUUUGGAAAAAGGACGGAAAUGUUAUAGGAGGUGGAGGGCAUCGCAGGAUACUACCAACAGGGACUCUUUAUAUAUCACCGACAUCUCGAGAUGAUGAAGGUAUUUAUACAUGCGUUGCCAGUAAUAAUCAGGGUGUAGCAGAAUCGAAAGCACGACUCAUCGUCCUUCAAGAAUUGCGUUUCACAGAACAGCUCCAACCUAAGAUUAUCAAACAAAUUGACGAGCUGCUGUAUUUAAGAUGUGAUGUGAUAUAUGAUGAAAUUCUUGACGUAGCAUUCCUUUGGACACACAACGGGCAAGUUAUCAACACUCUCGAAGAAACAGAGUCUGCAAAUCCCAGAUAUAUAGUAAAUUAUAACAGUUUGGAAGUUCAUAAUUUAACUUUACUAGAUUCCGGAGAAUACGAAUGCAUUGCCAAAUCAGCAGUGAACCAAAUUGUGUCCACUACCAAUGUCUAUGUGCAAGGUCCACCUGGAUCCCCUGGGGCUGUUAAAGUUAUCGAAAUCAAGAAAACAGAUGCUGUUCUAGAUUGGAUCGACGGCAAUGAUAAUGGGCGACCUAUUUUGUUCUAUAACAUCUUGGGACGAACGAAUUGGAACAAAACUUGGGUGAAUAUUACAGAAAAUGUUAUUGCGCAGGAAAUAGAUCGCUAUAACGGAAGGCGUCGGGCUACGGUUAAAAAUUUAACACCGGGUUGCGGUUAUGAAUUUAGUGUUGUGGCAGUGAAUGAUUUGGGUGCUGGUCUACCAAGUCUACCGUCACCCGUACAUAAUACGCAAAAAGAUAAACCCUAUAUAGCACCUCGGUCAGUCGGAGGAGGUGGAGGCAAAAUCGGUGAUCUCACUAUCACCUGGGAGCCACUUCGUCCAGAUGAACAGAACAGCAUCGAUAUUCACUACAAAGUUUUCUACCGUCUACAGGGCCAGAGGGAAUGGGCCACAGAUGUGCUCAAGAAACAAGGAAAUGUUGGCAAGGCGGUUGUUCACAUUCCAUUCGAUAAAUUUUAUACAAAGUAUGAAGUAAAAGUUCAAGCGAUUAAUGAUCUUGGUGAAGGGCCCAUUAGUGAUGUAGCUCUGAUAUAUUCGGCCGAGGAUAUGCCUCAACUUGCUCCACAACAAACUACAGCAUCAAGCUUUAAUUCAACCGCACUGAACGUCACAUGGAAGGCAGUAACACAAACCCGAGAAUCUAUUCGAGGAAAACUUAUUGGCCACCGGUUGAAGUACUGGAAAAAGGAACACAAAGAAGAGGAUGCGGUAUACUUUUUGUCGAGAACCACUCGUCCGUGGGCGCUUAUUGUCGGUUUGGAACCAGAUACGUACUACUUCGUCAAAGUUAUGGUCUAUAAUGCUGCAGGAGAGGGCCCGGAAAGUGAACGCUACUUGGAGCGAACUUACCGAAAGGCUCCACAGAAACCACCGUCAUCUGUUAAUAUCUUCGGAAUAAAUCCUUCCACAAUAAGAGUUGUCUGGAGAUAUAUUUCACCUUCGCAAGACGAAGAACCGGUGCAAGGAUACAAGAUUCGUAUAUGGGAAACUGAUCAAGAUAUGUCUACUGCAAACGAUACCCUUGUAUGGAUAGGUCACAAGCUUGAAAAGUACAUUGAUAAUCUUAUUCCAGGCAAAUCUUACAAUCUUCGGGUGUUGGCUUUCAGUAACGGUGGAGAUGGAAGAAUGUCAAGUCCACCCAUAAAAUUUCAAAUGGCCACCACCUGCCGCAAACCGCCCCUCCAACCGCCUUCACCAACCGCCCACACCAACCGCCAACACCCGUCACCAAACCGCCUCGAACCACACAACCAAAUGAAAAUUUAUAAUGUGAUAGUGAAGAAAAGAAAUAAUGUUGAAUUCAAAUAUUGUAAGUAAUAAGUAAUGAAAAAAAUAUGAAUAAAUAGUGAGGAGGUUUUAUGCCUACGGGAGCAUGAUUUUGAAGAAAAAAUCAACUCCCGCGGGCUUUUCCCUGCUCUUGAAUCAUCAUUACUUCCUCCGAGUCCCUCUGUUCUUGUCUGCCUCGUGCUCCUUCAUCAUUUCCGGCUGCUUGUGGCCUCGGUGGAAUCGUCAACGCAUCGCAGGCAUCCCUACUGCUACUGUUCUCUGCCUGGAUGGUUGGGACACUAGUUGAAAGGCUAGUGUUUUCUGUUUCACUUAGCACCAUAUUGACUGCACUGUUCACGCACUCUAUCUGAGCUAGCAGCGUCUCUACAAGCUCGCACACGACCCUACGCGUUUCCUCUAAAUUCGCGACCACUGGAAUCAGUGAUAAUCUUUGCCGGUAAUGAAGCAAUCUCGAUUUCGCGCAAGCCAUUUGAUCGGCGUUUCGAUUCUGCGUGGCUAAAUCAACAUGAUUCCUCAAUUCUACAACUGCCCUCUGGCAGACCUCAAUGUUCAACUCCGGCGACAUUACGUGUUCCGAAUUUACAUAAAUGAUGUCUCUAAGGGUGUCCCCUUGGACAAGGGCUUUUAACUUGACCACCCUAGCUCUUCUAGGGCAUGGGGCUAGAUUCGUAACAUGGCGCAAGGCCAAUUCAUAUUCCAUCUCCUCAUCAUUAAGAUGAUACAAAUCAAUUUGUUUAUUCAUCAUUCUUUAUUAGGAUAAAAAAACCAGAUAUUUUUUGUAAUGUGGACUUACAGAUUACAAAAUCACGAUACGGUACAAAAAUUGAGAGAUAAUAAUAAUAACAUAACAGCAGCUUUUACUAAAUACUGUUACAAUAAUAAUAACAUCAUAAACAAAACUAAAACUUUAAUUUAACGAACAAAAUAAUGCGGUUCGUUUUAGUUGGGCGCCAUUUGUUAUGGAGGCUUUUGUGGUCAUCGCCACGUAAAUAGAAAAAAUAAUGGCUUCAAUAGAUUUUGGCAAAACACUCCCACAUUUCCCCGAAUCAGCGUGUACUCACCGCAUUCUUGCUGAAUGGAUUCCUUUUGUGCGGCACCUCGCCUGCCCUGCAUGCGUCCGCCGCCUUUCGACAGAACGCCGAUCGGAUGGCACCUCGUCUUCUGCUAUUUGGCCGCCCUACGACCGGAGCCGAUUGGUGGCACCUUGAUGCCGCUGCUGCUGUUUCGGCCGCCCUAAGCCUGGGGCCGAUUGGUGGCACCUUGAUGCCGCUGCUGCUGUUUCGGCCGCCCUAAGCCUGGGGCCGAUUGGUGGUACCUUGGCGCCGCUCUGUUCUUCGGCCGCCCUACGACCUGGGCCGAUUGGUGGCACCUUGGCGCCGCUACUGUUCUUCGGCCGCCCUACGACCUGGGCCGAUUGGUGGCACCUUGGCGCCACUGCUGCUGCUCGCUGUGGACCCUACCGGAAGACCUCCACUUUUCUUCACGGCUGAGUUCCGGUGCCUCCGAGUUAUUGUGGUGCUGCUCGGCGAUUCAGAGUGCCAAUUGGCAGCACUGCGUGAAUUCUGGCCCUUCGCCUACGGCACCUCCUGGGGUCUACCAGGGGGCUGCUGAUUUUCGUCUAGGUUGUUCGGCUCGCGUGCCAAUGCCCUACGCCUGUGGCGCCUCCUGGGAUCUACCAGGGGGCAGCUGAUUUUCUUCGGCUGUCGGCUCGCGGGCCAAUGGAGAUGUGCGCCGGAAUUUAUGCCACCGGAGCAGUGCCCGAAACCGCCUUGGAAUCCAGCGCUAUGAAAGAAAAUAGGGGAAAAAGGGCCGCCUUCGCAAAAGCGUAUUAGUUACCAGAUCCCUUUUCUUUUCCUGUUCUAUUCGGCAAAUUACCUCUGCGACCCUUUCCUGGCGCUUGCCUUCUCUUCCUUGAGCUCCUGACCGGGGAAUCGAGCUUCCUCACAAUGGACUGCGCUUUGCUUUGCUGGCUGGAUUCCGUCCCAAAAAUGCACGUGGCGUGGCCGGCUUUUGUUUUUGUUUGCAGCGCAGCAGCUCCUGCUGGUGCUGAUGCUGGAUUCGAUCCUCGGGCUUCUUCGACUCGUUAAACCGGGUUUUUUCUUCUCACGCACUACACCACUUCCCGAUUUCGGAGGCACUUUUCUCCGUCUAUCCACGACGGUACUUGGAACGAGAUGGCGGAUCUGUUCCGCAUGGCCCGUUUGACAGCUCUUGUUGCACGCUGCUUUUGCUUCCCUCAUUUUUGGGUGCUCUUAACAUUAAAAUGUACGCUUGGCGCAUUUUAACCGAUUUUGGUUUCAUAAUAGCAACACGCUAAUUUUACUCUAUAUGCACACAAAACUUUCGAGGCUCCACUUAGCAAAAAUGAGCUGUUACUUUCCAUUAGCAAAAAUUUUUUUUUACUGUCGAGUUAGCACUUUCCCAAAUUGUCGUGACUUUUGCUCAAUUUGAGUAAAAUUAACCAAAAUACUACUAAUUUUAGCAUUUAUAGUAGCAUGGACUCAAACUUUUAGCCUGUGCCCAAACCGCGUUCUUUAAGUGCUCAAAUUUUAGAAAGGCGACACAGGCGGGAACCUGUUAGAUUAUUCUUGUUUUCAUUUUGCACCACGCGCGGGUAAAACAUUUUUGUUCUGCUCCUCAGUUUUUCGUCGUUUGGUUAGAAUUUGGAUUAGGAUCAACAGCAUCUCGUGGGAGGGAAUGCUGCAGAAGUAGCCAUUCUUCCUCAAGCGGAACGGUUACCGGUUCGGUAACUAGUGGAAAAAUAGCGGAAUCCUAACGCUGCACAUACCGGUACGCGAUACCGAGAAAGGAGGAGAAAUGGUGAAGCGCAAAACCGAACCCGGAAGCAGCAGUAGUGGUUCCGCCGGGUUAUGUGUGUUGUUGACCUGUUUGGUGGUCAGUGUUUUUACUAUCAGGUAACAAAAAAAUAGACUGUCUAGCUAUUAUAGUUUUAUUUUUAUUCUUCUAAAUAUGAAAUGCACUAAACUUAAUUAUUUCUGUUUUUCAGAUUUCAGUGGUGAAGAUUUAAUAGAACGCGAUGAUGCAAUACACUUUUGGAAACCCGCAGAGUGAUGCGAACGAUAAUAAAAAAGAAGAUUAAAAAAAAUCAAAUCUCACUUUUUAAUUUUUUGAAAAUGUAAACCCUUCAUUAAAAAUAAUUUAAUUUUAGAUUUCACUCAAAUUCGAGCAAACGUUAGAAAAAUAAAUUUUGCUAAAAUUUUAGCAAAUAAAGGUUUUUGUUUGCUUGAAAAUUAGUAAACAUUCAGUCAGGACACAUUUUGUUAUUUUGCUAAAAUUUUAGUAAAAAUAAAUUGCUAAAUUGAUUGCUAAGAUUUUAGCUGGUCAAAUUUGAGCAAAAUUUUGCUAAUUUUCGGCCUCGGAAAUUUUGUGUGUGGGGAUGGGUUCUUAUGUGUUAGUUUGCCAAUCGCUCGUAUCGUGAAAUAUUCUAGGACUAAUAACUUAGCUAUAACCUUAAAUGCAACAUCAUGGCGAAAUCAUUAUCUGAGCAAUAUUUUGGUGAUUGGCAAAACUGCGUGUUUUACAAAAAUCAGAGCACCUGGCCAGCUGUCAAAUUUCGGCUGCGUUUCUCCCCCACCGCCGCAUCCAACCGCUCGCUCGUCUACUUUUUGCCAUACCAUUACAAUUGAAUCUAUUAUAUUCAAAGUUGAUUGCAUAAGGUCAAUCUGCAGUUUGUAUACAUAGUUGAAUCUACACUCAGAAAAAUACUAUUAUGUAUGCUAUAAGAUUCUCUUAUGAAGUGGCGCCAUAAGAAAAAUUAAUGAAAUUCAUAAGAUUGUCUUAUGACGCGAAUGAAUUCUGAAGAUGAACGCCUACUUCAAUGAGAGGUUGUUGCUUUUCAUAAGAGAUUCUUAUGGAAACAGUAAAUCACUUUCUAAUAAGAAAAAAUCUAGAUUUUUCAUGCUGAAAACAUUCACUUUAUUGUUUGCCAAAUUUGUUUAAAAUUGAAUCAUUCAUGGUCACCAUCAGCAGCGCAUCAACAGACGGCUCCAUCAAAUUUAUUUUUGCCGCAUCUUAAUCUUCGACCUUUCGUUUUUUGCCAAUCAGCUUGCUGAAAAGUAAACAAAUAAUGUAUAUUAGUUUACUUAUAUAUUAAACGAUCACACCAAACACAUCAAAUCGAACUUACCAUUCCGCAGAUAACAAUAACAUUUAAAAUUGAAGGGAAACUACAAUAACUAUGAACUGGCGAUUGCUUCGUACUGUUAGAUGAUGAAAAAAAAAACUGAUUCCAUGAAUGAAUGUGUUCAUUAUUUUUUCACAAAGCCGUUUCUUCUAUUUUUCAUAAGAACAUCGUAUGAAAAUUGAAAGAAUUUCAUAAGACUCUCAUGAAACAUUAUUUUGCACUCUAAAAAGCGGUUCAUAAGAUGCAUCUUAUGAAAAUUAUAAUAAGAAUUUGCCUGAGUGUAUUGUAUUUAUAGUUGAAUGCAUAAAAUAAACCAUAAAAUUGAAUGCAUUAUAUUGAUAGUUGAUUGCGUAAGAAAAAUUAGAAGUUUGUAGUUGAAUCGAUUAUAUAAGAAGUUGAAUGCGAAAAAAUCAACUGCAUUUCGAUUAUUGGUAUAACAACCCAACAAACUAACGAGCCUAUAGUAAACAAAGAGACGAAAUGUCACGAUUGGAAUUUUUGGAUUUUCUGUCAGUUUCAUUCCAAUCGAGCAAAACCAAGCAGUCUUAAAGGCAGACCUACAGCAGGGUUGCAAGCACAUUAUUUCAAAAGGGAUCAGAUUGCGCUUCUUUGUUUACUAUAGUUUCUUUACAACAAACCAUUAAGCACUGUUAUGAGCCGCAUUUGGGACGAAUAAUAGCAUUUCAGUGCCUAUAAGCCGUGUUCAGUAUUUUCAAAUGCCAAUAGGCUCUAUGAGUUUGAAGCCGUAGAGUAGGCUCUAAAUUGGCAUAUAAAGCAGUGUAUUAAGGCUUUCAAGCCCUGUGGGUAGAAGUUGGAUGACAUUCACGUCAAAGCCUGUGGGAGGGCUUUGUGCCUGUCAUUCAUGAGGCAGAAUAAAACGACUUGGUUCUGGAAGAAGAGCUGCGUAUUUGUUUACUUUGUCGAUAAUUUUUUAAACUUGGGAGAACAAAGAUCAUCUUGCUGUCAAUUAGAAGGAUGAUACGCUGGAAAAUACCCGAAACCCGCGGCCCGGGAGCAGCAGAAAAAAAAAUCGCUUCGUAUUACUAAUGGUCCCACAGGAACACCAUCAGCGAUUUGCAGUCUUAGCUACCCCGAUUGGAAGAUAGUUUCAGUGAUAUGUGGAAAGUAGAAAGUGUCCAGAAUAGUAAUUUCGUUUUCCGUUUUUGAAGUUCAAUAAACUAAGUGAUUUGAUGUAAAAAUUAA